CAGGACCAGAUUUCGAUAAACUCACUACUUCAUAAUUCCCACUACUAUGAAGAAAAACACACAAUUCCUCGCUACUUAACGCGCGCGCGCGCGCGCGCGCACACACGGGUCUUCUUCUUCCCUUCUACACGGCACUCACACAAAUACAAAACACACGGUGCUUAUCUCUCAAACUCACGGCAUAUACUGGGUCACGGCACCUUCAAUCCGCUUCAUACUUCACACAGCAGUUUCCCAGCAUUCACGGCACUCGUAGAUUCACAGUCAUCUUCAAAACUCAUCAAGAAGGCACUCAAUCGACAAAAGGCAUUGAGUUUAAGAAUACACCCUUCAAUUUCAUUCUCCAAUCAUCAUCUAAGAAAAUAACAUUCAAGGUAUGUGUAAUCCUACUUCUCUUUCUUUUGCUUCAAAACAUGGUGAUUAUUGUGUCUUUCUUCUUCUUCUUUUUCGUUCCCCCCAAAACAAUUGAAUGAUUAAGAAGGAUUAUGGGAUUAGGUAGAUGUGGAGAAUUUGAUUGUGAGUUUACUUUGUGAAAAUUGAGGCUUUGAUCCAAUUCCCAAUUUAUUUAAAUUUUAGGGAAAAAUUGGCUGCAUUCCAUAUGUUUGUUAAAAUUCCCAAGUACAAAUUUAUGUCAAUUUUGGGCUCAUUUAUCAAUUGAAAUCGUUGCUACACAUUUGGGCACCUUUUGGGUCGAAAGUCAGUGAAAUUGAUUUGGAAAACACCUAGGCCUCUUUGCACACCCUGGCAUGACACGGCAAGGCACAGCUCACCAACUUCGUCUAACCCAAACAACCUCCGUUUGACCUCAAAUUUGAACAUGAAUAAGAUCAAUAUAUAAUCUUUCAUAUGCCCAGAGAUUGUUUAGAAAAAUUCACUUUUUCUUCACGUUUUUUGAUGGUGAAAGUCCUUGGUCGGUCUUGGGUUAAAACGAAAAUUUACCUCUUUUAUGUUCAUUUAGGGAAUGUGAGCUGCAUUAUCUUCGUCCAUUGGAUACAUACCUAUAUCAUGAAAUUUCUCGAGCAUGGCAUGAGUUUUCACACUUUAGUGCAUGAAAGUUGACAUAGAGUUAUGUAGUUUGGGGGUAUUCUCCACGUUAUUUUACUUUUAUGUUUGUUGCCUAUUAUGCUGAUAUAUUCUGUCUUUUAUAUCUACAGGUAAAAUGCCACCCAAAAGAAAAGCUAUCGCUCCAAAAAAAGGGAAAUCCAUAGUGGGUUAAAACUUCGAACCUUUGUUAGAGAGCCAACAAAAAUCUAAAUGGAGGAGUGCAGCGAUCCCUAAAUGAGGAAACACGAGGAAAUUUUGAGUCUAGGUGAAAAGACAAGAAGUUCUAUCAAGAGAUUAGUUGAUGAUUUUCAGGGAAGUCUAUUAGAAAGGAUUGUCCACUGCGGUGAUCGGCGCAAAGUUGUUGGAACUCCUCAUGCAGCUUAUCCUACUUUGGUGAGGGAGUUCUUCGCCAACUUCAAUACUGAAAUUGAUGCCCCAGAGUCAUCACACGUGAACCAAACAUGGGUAAGAGGAUAUGGGAUUGGUGGCCCGAUUCUUAUACAGUAGAGGUAAUGUAUGGCAGCUUCUUACGAAUAGAUUCAUGAAUAAACAGUUGACCUCUGAGCUGAGACACCUUUAUAUCUUUAUCUUCACCAAUACUGAUCCUACAAUCCAGCGAAGUAGGUUCAAUGAAGAAAGGGCCCAACUACUCUAUCAUCUGGCACAGGGACAUAAAAUUGAUUUAGGAUCCUACAUCUUCAGUUUCGUACGAGAGUUGGCCGCAUCGAUCCAUCCUCAGUGUAGUAUCAUGUCUCCCUUCCUUAUCAGUGGGAUUUGUUUGGCUGUCGGGGUACCACUUUUGUCAAAUGAAAAAAUUGCUCCCUAGAUACCCCAAUCAGCAGAAGGACAAUAGAAAAUUCUGAACCUCAGCUCAGAGGGGGCAGAGAGAGUACGUAAUCCUGAGCAAGCACAUCCACCACUAUAGUAUGCUCUAGAUACCAACACAGCCCUCCUGAGUAGACAGUUGGCUCAGAUGCAGGUAACCCAGGUGGAGCUAGGUACAUUAGUUGGCCAAAUAACAGAUGUUUUGGAGGCGAUACAGACACAGCUAGACAUCCAGAGAGAGCUGCUGAGAGUGAGUGGCCAGCUACAGGGUUUCCAACAAAGUGAUGACGGGGCAUGAUAUGACCAUAGAACCAUCACAUCACGUAUGCUUACAAUCAGGUGCACAAGCAGAUGCUACACUUUGAGAGUCAACUGGAGACAAUAGACAAAAAUGUCAUCUAGCUAGCGAGGACCGUUGACUCCUUGAGGCUCACCACUCAUACCAGUCAAUCGGACAAGCCAUAUCCUGCUACUCAUCCACAUAUACCCCGAGGAGUAUAUGAUUCCUUACUCAUUUAUUUAUGAUUAUUUUUACUUCUACAUUGGGGCAACGUAUUAUUCUCGUUUGGGGUGGAUGGACAAGUAUCAUGAUAUUGAUACUAAUUAUAUUUGACAUUUCAACUACUAAUCAGGUCUGUAUAACUAUUUAACAGUCUAAAAAAUUGUAAAAUUCAAAAAUAGUAUCAAGCUUAGCAUUGACUAGCUUGCCGCCUGUGAUAAUAUUUAAUUGAAUUGAGUAUAGCUUUAGUUAGAAUACUGGACAACACCAUAACAUGUGCCUUUACUUGAGUACUUAUUAUUGUUAAAUUUAAUUAUUUGAGCACAUAGUCAUAUUGACUUAUCACUUAUGUUGGGGUAUGACUUGAUUAUAUGAAUUAACUAUUGAUACUGUUGACCUAUACUUAAGUGAAUUCCUGAAUUCCUAUAGUAUAGAAACCAGUUCGGC
rnacentral:lncRNA from 1 species